UACGGGGGGGGCAAGCGUUGUUCGGAAUUACUGGGCGUAAAGGGCUCGUAGGCGGCCAACUAAGUCAGACGUGAAAUCCCUCGGCUUAACCGGGGAACUGCGUCUGAUACUGGAUGGCUUGAGAUUGGGAGAGGGAUGCGGAAUUCCAGGUGUAGCGGUGAAAUGCGUAGAUAUCUGGAGGAACACCGGUGGCGAAGGCGGCAUCCUGGACCAACACUGACGCUGAGUGAGCGAAAGCCAGGGGAGCGAACGGG
rnacentral:rRNA from 1 species